GAAAUGCGAUAAGUAAUGUGAAUUGCAGAAUUCAGUGAAUCAUCGAAUCUUUGAACGCACCUUGCGCUCCUUGGUAUUCCUUGGAGCAUGCCUGUUUGAGUAUCAUGAAAUCUUCAAAGUAAAUCUUUUGUUAACUCAAUUGGUUUCUACUUUGGUAUUGGAGGUCUUUGCAGCUUCACACCUGCUCCUCUUUGUUCAUUAGCUGGAUCUCAGUGUUAUGCUUGGUUCCACUCGGCGUGAUAAGUUAUCUAUCGCUGAGGACACUGUAAAAGGUGGUCAAGGUAAAUGCAGAUGAACCGCUUCUAAUAGUCCAUUGACUUGGACAAUACUUUUAUGAUCUGAUCUCAAAUCAGGUAGGACUACCCGCUGAACUUAAGC
rnacentral:misc_RNA from 1 species